UUUGAGCUGCGGUGCGGUGGCGGUGUGAAGACGUAGUGUGGAAAGAUUAGUCGUAAUUACUGUGCCUAAGUCGUGCGCAGGCGGGUAUAUAAGUCAGUUGUGAAAUCCCCGGGCUCAACCGGGGAACUGCAGUGGUGAUGUUAUAGCUAUAUGACGGCAUGGGGGGAUGGAAGUCCGCGUGUAGCAGUGAAAUGCGUAGUUAUGCGGAGGAACACCGAUGGCGAAGGCAAUCCCCUGGGCCUGUACUGUCGCUCAUGCACGAAAGCGUGGGGAGCAAACAGGAUUAGAUACCCGGGUAGUC
rnacentral:rRNA from 1 species